UAUGAUAGCAAUGUCAGCAGUGCCUUAGCAGCACGUAAAUAUUGGCGUUAAACUUCUAAAAUUAUCUCCAGUAUUAACUGUGCUGCUGAAGUAAGGUUGGCCAUACUCUACAGUCAUAUUUUAAUGU
ensembl:miRNA